rnacentral:rRNA from 1 species
UACGUAGGGACCAAGCGUUGUUCGGAUUUACUGGGCGUAAAGGGCGCGUAGGCGGCGUGACAAGUCACUUGUGAAAUCUCUGGGCUUAACCCAGAACGGCCAAGUGAAACUGUUGUGCUAGAGUGCAGAAGGGGCAAUCGGAAUUCUCGGUGUAGCGGUGAAAUGCGUAGAUAUCGAGAGGAACACCAGUGGCGAAGGCGACUUCCCUGGCCUGUUCUUGACGCUGGAGGCGCGAAAGCCUAGGGGGAGCAAACGGG